rnacentral:rRNA from 1 species
GAUGAACGCUGGCGGCGUGCCUAAUACAUGCAAGUCGAGCGAACGGACGAGAAGCUUGCUUUUCUGAUGUUAGCGGCGGACGGGUGAGUAACACGUGGAUAACCUACCUAUAAGACUGGGAUAACUUCGGGAAACCGGAGCUAAUACCGGAUAAUAUUUUGAACCGCAUGGUUCAAAAGUGAAAGACGGUCUUGCUGUCACUUAUAGAUGGAUCCGCGCUGCAUUAGCUAGUUGGUAAGGUAACGGCUUACCAAGGCAACGAUGCAUAGCCGACCUGAGAGGGUGAUCGGCCACACUGGGACUGAGACCCGGUCCAGACUCCUACGGGAGGCAGCAGUAGGGAAUCUUCCGCAAUGGGCGAAAGCCUGACGGAGCAACGCCGCGUGAGUGAUGAAGGUCUUCGGAUCGUAAAACUCUGUUAUUAGGGAAGAACAUAUGUGUAAGUAACUGUGCACAUCUUGACGGUACCUAAUCAGAGAGCCACGGCUAACUACGUG